AAGCUGGCUUGCUGAGUCUUCUGGCUUUCAUCUUUCUCCUGUGCUAGAUGCUUCUGUUCAUUCCUCCUGCCCUUAGACAUCGGACUCCAGGUUCCUUGGCCUUUAAACUCUUGGAUUUACACCAAUGGUUUGCUGGGGGCUCUAGGGCCUUUGGCCACAGACUGAAGCCUGCACGGUCAGCUUCCCUGCUUUUGAGGCUUUUGGACUCAGACUGAGCCGCUACUGGCUUCUUUCUCCCCGAGCUUGCAGACGGCCUAUCAUGAGACUUCGCCGUGUGAUGGUCCAAACACAAAGGCCUCCCGACCUUAGAGUUCUGCGUCUGGAUGUUUUUGGCUACAAAACCAGAAAACUCCUUCUCAACUGGCUUAAACGGGAAAAUGAGGUCACUUCUGACCCAGAGACUCUGUCAUCUUACCCUCUCCUGGGGGUCUUCAUCUAAAGAGCUGCCACUGGGAUCAUACAGUGUGCUCUCAUCUGGAACUUCCCACAUCUCCACGUGCCCUCACCUUCAGUGAGAGUCUGAGAAGAAGCCGGGUGGGGUUGCUGCCCACAUGGUCGGGGCUGCUGCCAAUGCCACUCAUCUCACCGUCACUUGCUGCCUCUCUGCCUGCCCCCUGGUCCAUGGUUCUCUGACAUCUCUCUCUCCUUGAGGACUGUCCACUGAGAGGUCUGGAAACAAUGACACUCCAGGAACAAUGACACUCCAGAAACAAUGACACUCCAGGAACAAUGACACUCCAGAAACAAUGACACUCCAGGAACAAUGAGCACAUCUAGCACCCAGAUCUUGGCUUCUACACAUCAUUCUCUAUUAAAAGAAAGAAGCAUCCCUUGGAGCAAUGGCUGAUUCCAGAGCUGUGGCAGAGAAAUUACAAGAUAAGCCUGGAACAUCUUGCUGUGACAGAAAGUAAGCAAGUGCUCAAAGAAUUAUGGCAAUAGAAACCAGCUUGGCAACUGGACAAAAUCUGGGAAAUUGAGCAUCAAAAUAAAUAAUGAGGUAAUGAGGAAAAC
rnacentral:lncRNA from 10 species